rnacentral:rRNA from 1 species
CCCUUAGAUGUUCUGGGCCGCACGCGCGCUACACUGAUGAACGCAACGAGACCACCUGUACCGAAAGGCAUGGGUAAACUUGUGAAAGUUCAUCGUGAUGGGGAUAGAUUAUUGCAAUUAUUAAUCUUCAACGAGGAAUUCCUAGUAAGCGCGAGUCAUCAGCUCGCGUUGAUUACGUCCCUGCCCUUUGUACACACCGCCCGUCGCACCUACCGAUUGAAUGGUCCGGUGAAAUCUCGGGACGGCGGCUUGGUCGCUUGCGUCCGACUGCUGAAACUUGAUUAAACCAUAUCAUUUAGAGGAAGGUGAAGUCGUAACA